UUUCAUCGUUACUCAGAUCACCACUAAGC
rnacentral:sRNA from 1 species